AAGCGUCUGGUGGCUCAACCAGCCUACGGUUGUGAGACCGGAACUGUAGGAAGUGGUACCACUUGAUCUCCUCCGCGCCAUCCUACGGCUUUACACUUCAUAGCACAGGAAGUUAACAGUGGGGCCGAAUUUCCUGGAAUAUAAUCGACUAGUACAGCAUCACUGUUCCAUUAGUUGGGAGACAUAUGCCGAUAUAAGGAAACUUACUCUCUUUUAGAAUAUGGAUUUACUUUAUCUAGUCUUUCUAAUCAUUGCCCUUGGAACUUUCUCAGUGACAGAGGGGCAAGUUUGUUUUAAGAAGUAUGUGCAACGCAAAAACAAAUGUAAGGGCCCUAUACGUAAAAACAAGUACGCGACGGCUUCAGCCUGUUGUUCGUCCAGAAAAGGUGUUGGUUUUGCUGUGAAGAAGGAAAAACGUGG